ACAUCAUCCACCCUAGUGGUCUUCAAAUUACUCACAUGAUCCCACUUUCUUAUCAACAGAACUCGGAGCCUGUUGGGGGCGGGGUGCAUCCAGAUUGAGAACAGCAGCAGCUAGAACAGUUUCAUUGCCCAGCCCCGCCGGACUCAAGUUUUCUCCAGUGGGAUGUUCCCAGAAGUUGCUGGCUGGGGCUUUCAGGAAGACGUUUCAGAUGGCAGACAGGCUCAGCUAGAAGAUCCCACAUUCAGCCUGAUAAUGCAGACUCUUUCAAGGCCCUGCAGAGAAGCUCCUUUCCUCGUCAGCACCAAUUCUAAAAUAAAUCGGAGUCACUUAGAAGCCAAGCUGGAAGCACAUUCAACCUGCUGGGACCCACCACCCAGGAGUGAGGCUCUUAAAUCAAUUUGGAAAUCGUUUCCAUGUAUUAUGAAUGGACUUGGUAAGGGAAUAGAAAUCCCUGCCAAAUCCCUACCUUGAAUAGGAUGAAAAAUUAGAUUAAUCUGAAAAAAGCAGUCAGCAGGCAGUUACUUACCCUGUUUUAGAUAUCUGGGAGGACUGGGAAAAUUGCAGCACGGUGUAGCAGAAAGAGCAGGUCUUUAGAGUUAAACAGACUGCACUUUGCGUCCUGGGUCUGCCACUUAACAGUUGUGAACUUUGGCCACGUGCCUCAUCCUGCCUGAACCUCUGUUUCCUUAAUUCCGGGGUAGGGAUGACAACGCCUGCCUUGCUGGACUGCUGGGAGCAUUAGUGACAGCAGAUGUGAAGCAUCUCACACCGAGUGGGGAUGGAUAAACAGCGGCUACAGGCACCUACCUCCUGGAAAAGGGCUGCUGUCAUAUUUGAGGCACUCUCAGGGCCCCUGGGCCAGCUUUUCCAGGGACAAGGGGCAUAUUCCCAUGGGUGUUGCAUAUCGACCUUUGGUCUCAUGUAAAACUCAUCUUAUUCAUAG
rnacentral:lncRNA from 1 species